CGCCAACCCUACGCUGCGCGUGCGCAGCUACCGCCAUCCCCCGCGGCGCGGCCGCUGCUGACCAAUCAGAGCCCUCGCUGCGAUCAUGUGGCGGCCGAACCGGGACUGGUUCUUCCGCCUCGGGCGGACUUCACCUGGACGGGCGACUCUGGCUGUUCUCCCAGGACGGUCUGCGCCCGCGGCGUCCAGACCUUCGCAGCCGCAGUUCCCCACCGUCCUUCAUUGUUAACGCGCUCCUCGCGGCCCCUGGAAGCCUAAAAGCUGGAAGGAAGGCGCGCCGUGCCCUUGGGGUGUCCCGGCCUGGCGACCACGCGGAGAUCACGCAGAGCCGACUGGCGGCGGCGGCGCGUCCACCUGUACGCCCCACCCGCGCUGCUUCUGCGGCACACCCAGCGGUCUCCAGUGCUGGCCGCGGCCUCUGGCCGCUAUCGCCUUCGGAGGGGCCCGGAAUGGGAAGCCCGUUCCCCGUAUGCGCCUCUGGGACCUCCAAGAAGAUACCAAAGCGGUCCAGCUUUACUCAUUCGUGUCUAGUGAAGCACAUUUGUCUCAGGUCCACGCCAUGAAAGAAAUGAUUAGACUUUUGCCGAGCCAGACCGAUCUGCUUUGGCGCCCACGGGUAUCGGGGCCCUUCCCUGCCAUUUGACUCCCUGGAAAUGCCUGAAAGCCACGUUACCAUUUUUUUAAAGGUACUGGGGAUUGAACCCAGGGCCUUUGCCUGAACUACACCUCCCACUCUUUAUCUUGAGACAGAGCCUCGGCUGCAAGGAGUCGUCCUCCAGAUUCGUUAGUAGAGGAAAUACUCUUACCUCUGACUUUCUGACGGGAGAGCGGCAAAGUGCUAGGUUCCUAGGGAGAAGGGAGAGGAUGGAGGGGAAGUAGGGCUCCCUGCCAGAAUCCCGGAGAAUCCAGGAGGGGCCCUGCAGCCAUCCAUCAGAUCCGUGAGAAUUGUGUGAACCUGUGAACAACAGGACUGCUGGGCUUUCUCUGGCCACAUGUCUCAGGGGCAGCCGUGUUAUUGGAGAGUAAAAGUCCCAAACUAGGCCUCUUCCGGAUUCGCCAGAACCAGAACCAGAACCACUUCUGUUUCCCCUCCUGGAUAACAAACCACGGGAAUUUAAAUCCAUCACACACACACUCCUCCAGGUGGCUGGUCAUGGAGGCACUGCCCUCGCACCUGAACAGAAACCGCCUGAUAUGACUCAGAACUGAGAGGGAGUCACUGUCCCUGGUGAGGGCCAUGCGGGCCUCUGUGAAUACACAGAAGGAAGAUCUGGAAGGUGCCUGAGGAAUCGCAGUCCUUAUCAACCAGAUGAGGCCGGGGGCGCCAAAUUCCCUGGCACUGACUGUACUGUGAAAUAUACAUGUAAGGUGUUGGGUUUCCUUUUUGCCUCAGUCUGAGGUUUGGAUUUAAUAUUGAUUUGGGUCAGCUGGCCCAGAUAUUAGAAAUCAUAAUGUUAUUGAGCCCUGACAGUAAUGUUUUCCAUUUAGGGAGUGCAGAGAUAAAACGGGUUCAGAGUUUCACUUCACUUGCUGAGGUUUUGCAGCAAAGGGUGUGCUGAAAAUAGAGGUGUUCGUGGGAAAUGCAGAGCCCCAGGCCAUCCCCCUGGGAGAUGUGCACACAGGCAGUCGGCAGAGGAAGCUGGAAUCUGCAGAGAUUUUGGUUGCAUUUCUCACGUGACCUCAGCAGUGGAACAGUCUCAGGCCACGCCUGCCCCAUUGCUUGCCUUUUCCCACUAGGCCCCACCUCCUAAUCCCAAAUCAACUAUGGACUCAUCUGUGGAUUAAUCCAUGGGUAAGUAUACUGACCCCAUAAUCCAGUCACCUCCCCAAAGCCACACCUCUGAAUAUACACUUCUGGGUUAACAUUUACAUCUAAGCCAUAACAAGCUUCAACUCCCAGUCUCCUAGAAAACCAGAAAAACACCAUCCCAAAAUGCAAUCAGAAAAAAUCUAGUCCAUACAAGAUAUGAUGAAAAUAGACAGCGAGUGUUAAACAGUUUGAUUAUUAUAGUAUAAGAUAUAUUGCCGUUAAUCUCCCUCAAAAUUCUAUCCCAUUGUUCUUGCCACUUUCUGAAGCAGUCCCAGAAGUCUUUUUGUGAGUGUCUAUUUGUGGUGGCACACAACUGUAAUCCCAGCACUCGGGGGGAGGGGUGGGGGCGGCUGAGGCAGGAAGCCACAAGUUCAAGGCCAGCCUGGGCUACAUAGUGAGUUCAAGGUUGGCCUGAACUACAUAGUGAGAGUCUUAUCUCAAAAAACCCCACAAACGCCUGCUGCGCAAGCACAAGGACCCGAGUUCAAUCCCCAGUACCAAAAAAAAAAACCCAAAAAAUAAAAACAAAAGGAAAGUGGCAAGAACAAUGGGAUGAGUGUGUACAAAAUGAGGGGAGUAUUUUGAGGAGGAUUCGUGGCAAUGUAUCUUUUACAGUAACGAUUAUAAUCUAAAUUCACUGUAUAUUUUGAUCACACCUUGUAAAUGACGACAGGAUCAGGAAGGGAAAAGAAAAAAAGAUGAAAGGAAAAGCUGAGAUUGAAGAUAUUUAGAGAUAUAGUAACCAAUCCCAACAUGUGAAACUUGUAUGGGUAUUUAUGAGAUAAUCAGAAAUUUGAACACCAGCCUCACACGAGAUUUUAAACCAUUACAUCUUUAGAGGUGCCCGUGUCAUUAUGAUUAUGUUUCAUUAAGGUACUUGUUUCAGAGAGAUUAAAUACUGACAGAUGGGCAGGUUGAGAUGUGUUUCGGUAUAAUGGGGAGAGGGUAAGGGCAAGACAACUGAGUGGAGAGUUCUGCGCACGGGCCAUGCGGACAGCUAAUUCGUGACACUGUUCUGUUUUUGUACAUUAAAAAGCUUUUGAAGGGCCGGGGAUUUAGCUCAGUGGUUCCGCUGCCUGCCUCACAAGCACAAAGUCCUGAGUUCGAUCCUUGGGACACCCCCCCCCAAAAAAAAAGCUUUUAAAAAGAGAACUAAAUCUG
ensembl:lncRNA